GACAACUAGCGACACAAUGACCAACAGGUGUGCAGCUGCAGGCGGAGCCCUACAGUGCCACCCGUUGGUCACAAACAGAACCAUGACAACCCCAAGAUGCCUGAAAGACAUGCUUACCAAAUUUCAGGAGGAAGGUGUUCUCAAGGGCUGAAUUUUCAAAUGUGUCCCGUUCGUGUAUUAGUUUCCUGGUUUCAGGCCGUUGGUGCUGUGCUUUGCGCACACAGUGAUGAAACGUUUCACAUUUUUGUGUCGUCUAUGUAUCUAGUGUACAGUAUUUGCUUCAGUUUUGGUAACUGUUGCGAAAAUCUGUUUGCCAUUUUAAUUUUGAAAGACCCCUGGAAAUAGUCCAAAUCAACCCACAAUGGUGGACUUCCUGUGUUUUUCAGACAUGGGUUGUUGAUAUCUUGUUGUGGGUUUACUCAUGAUAGAAAUGCCUACCAAAUUCCAUGUUGCUCAGUGAAACUGGCUUCAGGGCUGAAUUUUCAAAAUGUUGACUUUACUUAUCAGAGUUUCUAAAAUGCCCCUAAAAAGGCAGCUUUGAACAAAAUGGAUGUUUCCCCUACCAAUCGCAAAAAAAAAAAAAA